rnacentral:rRNA from 1 species
AUGAUAGAGUCUGUGAUAAGUAUGUGGAAGAUCUUGCACGUGAACGAGGUGCCGCUAGACCUGGAGAUACUAAUUUGCCACCUUGAGGCAGUGGUGGCCCUCCUAGAAGGAAAAGGUGGUCUUGCCACUUCCCACACAUCGGCACCCGUGUCGGUGCAAGUGUUAUCUCUGCUAGAGAAACUCGAUGUAGCUCAUGCGGGGAUCACUCAAGGACUUCGCCGCCUCGAGAAGGAAGGGCCGCGCCUGGAGGGACGCCUUGCCAACCUCGCCUCCAUGUGCAACAGACAAAAGAAGUUGGCCGAAGAACAUUGGAUGCUUGCCGGUAAACAUCAGCAGCUUGCCGAUGAGUACAAGUCCCUCUGCGAGAAGGAAACCGAGAUGGCGACAUUGGCUAAAAAGUGCACGGGCGUCCUAGAUGACAUGAUGACUUCUAGCUCCCACCAUCUUGAAGCUCAUGAGGAUGCGAUCCGGAUUUUCUCACAGGUGGCCGAGUCAUACACAAGACACCGUGCAGAGGCGACUGCCUUCCUGGCCGCCAGCGGAAUGCUUCUAGAGAUCGCGAUGAUCCUAGCAUACAAAGCUCCUGAGUGA